UACGUAGGGAGCAAGCGUUGUCCGGAAUCAUUGGGCGUAAAGCGCGUGUAGGCGGCUCGAUAAGUCUGCUGUGAAAAGUCCAGGGCUCAACCCCUGGGAUGCCGGUGGAUACUGUCGAGCUCGAGUCCGGAAGAGGCGAGUGGAAUCCUGGUGUAGCGGUGAAAUGCGCAGAUAUCAGGAGGAACACCAAUGGCGAAGGCAGCUCGCUGGGACGUGACUGACGCUGAGACGCGAAAGCGUGGGGAGCAAACAGG
rnacentral:rRNA from 1 species